rnacentral:rRNA from 1 species
GACGAACGCUGGCGGCGUGCUUAACACAUGCAAGUCGAACGGAAAGGCCCUGCUUUUGUGGGGUGCUCGAGUGGCGAACGGGUGAGUAACACGUGAGUAACCUGCCCUUGACUUUGGGAUAACUUCAGGAAACUGGGGCUAAUACCGGAUAGGAGCUCCUGCUGCAUGGUGGGGGUUGGAAAGUUUCGGCGGUUGGGGAUGGACUCGCGGCUUAUCAGCUUGUUGGUGGGGUAGUGGCUUACCAAGGCUUUGACGGGUAGCCGGCCUGAGAGGGUGACCGGCCACCUUGGGACUGAGAUACGGCCCAGACUCCUACGGGAGGCAGCAGUGGGGAAUGUUGCACAAUGGGCGGAAGCCUGAUGCAGCAACGCCGCGUGCGGGAUGACGGCCUUCGGGUUGUAAACCGCUUUCGCCUGUGACGAAGCGUGAGUGACGGUAAUGGGUAAAGAAGCACCGGCUAACUACGUG